rnacentral:lncRNA from 1 species
UAUAUGUGUCUGUAUGUGUGUAUAUAUAUGUAUGUAUAUAUAUAUAUAUGUAUGUAUAUGUUAAUAUUUUAUUGAAACCAUUGAUGUCCCUCUUUGCAGAACUCAAACUAUCUGGAGUUAAGGACACAGAAGUCUGCUUGUGUGAGGAGGAGGUUUUCUCAGCUUCUUCUGAAGAGAGGGAAAGAUCGUUUAAGAUGUUAAAAGCAAGAGACAUGGGAGAGCAUCAUUCCUUUGAGAUUUUAUGUAAGUUAUUUUUAGAAAAUAAAUUUUUCUGUUGUCUCCUGCCGGUUUACUUCACAUUUUGAUGCAACAACAGUGUGAUUACGUGCUCAUUUCAUUAAGACCAUUGAUGUCUGUGUUUUUUAUUGCAGAAAUCAAACCAAGUUUGGAGUUGUCUUGUCUGAUUUGGAGAGUCUUUAUUCUUGGUCUUCGCUCUUAGAGGUAAAGUUCACACAAAAAAUAAUUUACUUGCCCUCAAGUCAUUCCAAACCUAUAAGACUUUUGUCUGUCUUUACAACAUAAAUUAAUAUAUUUUUAGUUUUCUCAUAAUAUUUGUUAAUCCAUUUAUAGUUUAGAUAAUCAGUAUUUUCAAGCUUCAUAAAUAUAGAGUUAUUGUAGAAGUAAAUUCUGAUAUUUAUAUAUGAAUACAUCUUAAAUUAUAUGAUAGCAAACAUGUAUGUUCAAAAUAAAAUACUGGUCUCCCAGACCAGCAAUGGAGGACACAAAAAGAGAAUAUUAAAUAUAUUCAUACGUUUUCCAAAAAAUUAGCAGAUUUUGUAUGAGUCUGGAAAAACAUGGGGAGAGUAAAUUAUGAAAAUUUUAAUUAUUUGGUGAACUAACGGUUUGAAGAGCAGCCCUCCACGUACAUGAACAUUUGUGAGGUAUGUGAAUGUCAUGUCUGUUUUAAUGUUUCAGUAAAGAAGCUUUCUGAAAGCGAUAUUUAUUCAAACAAUAUCACCUGUCCUCACACUAGUGCUGCCAUUAUAGACUUCAUGAGAGCUGUGAUAGACAGACAUUAAACAACCACACAGUGUUGAAACUUUAAAACCGAUUAUUUACCUAUCCUUACGGAUGUGAAUACACCUCUACCUGAAAAUCGAUAGUUUAAUUAAAUGUUUAAUUUUUUCAAAUGUGUUUCUCUUAGGCCACUGAUGAAGAACAGGCGGUGACUGGGAUGAAUCCUGGUCGGAGAGGAGAAUCUUCUUUCCCCUAAACUGAUGCAGCGGUGGUUUUAAAGGAGGACGCUGCACUGGAUGAUGUAGAAGAUGUCACAUGCUGUGCUGAUGGGGUUUCUUCAUGAUUACAUCAGUUAUGCUAAAGAGAUCAUGAAAAUUGACCGUGAUGCAUGAUCUGUAUUAAUGGACUAUGAAACAAACUGUAAGUGUAUAAUUUGUUAAAAAAAAAAAAGUUAAAUGCUUUUUCUGUGUUGUUUAGUAGAAGAGUUUACACUCUGUCAUUCAUACACCUGCUCACAUUCUUUCACACACACACACACACGCGUCUGUUAAAUGUUAUAAUAUCAAAGUUAAUGUUGUGAUUUAUUUGUGUACUGUCAUGCCAGAAUAGUUGGAAAAAAAACUAACUAAUUGUAAAUUUAUUGUAGGUGUUUUCGUAUAUUUUUGUACAAUAUAUACAAUUGAACAAAGUCCAAUUUGAUCUUAAGUUAUAUUCAUCAAAUGUUCAAUGCUUUAUGAACUCUGUAGCUGUUAAUGCCAUCCUUUUCUGCAUUUCUUCUAACAUGUUACUUUUUGACUUUUCUCUUGUUUUUAAUAAAUAUUUUCCUUUUGAUAAUUAUUAUUUGUGUGUUAAAGUGAUAUUUAAAAUGAACAACAUUUGUAGGUUUAAUGCCUAGCUCAAUUUGGGUUAAUUUUAACGUAGAAAUGCAUUGUUUCCCCACAUGGCUACACUGCGAGUUUAUUUUCUGCCAGCAGGAGGCGCUAAGAGCGGGAGAGGUAGGUUUCUCCGGUAACGGCUGCAGAGCGGUGCUGAGCUCACAAACGCUGCCUUAUCAAGCACAUGCGAAAUGAUAUCGAACAUUUUCUGAAUACAGUAGUUUUCCUUCUGAAAUACAGUGAUAAAAAACACCCGCUCUGGUUUUUGAAACCCUGCAAUAUAGUCAUUUUAAACCAUAAAAAAUGGCAACCCAGCAGGCUGGGUUAAAUGUGAUAACCCAACUGGUUGGGUUAAAACAACCCAGCGCUGGGUUCGUCCCUUUUUGACCCAGCGCUGGGUUGUCAAAAUAACCCAAAUUGGGUUGUUUUCAACCCAGCAGUUUUUAGAGUGUGCUCGCAGUGAAGAGGAGUCUUUAUUCCACCGUCCCCUUGAGCAUCACUCCACAGACCCCCAAUAAUUUUAGUGUAUAUAUAUAUAUAUAUAUAUAUAUAUAUAUAUAUAUAUAUAUAUAUAUAUAUAUAUAUACUGUAUAUCUAAUUUUAUUUUACUUUUUAUUCCUGUGGCUCUAUUUCCCUUGGUUGGUUUUUAUCUUGUGCAUGCACACAUAAAUAUUAAUCGACAGACACUGUAAACAGAUGUUUUAUGAUAAAUUUAUGAUUUAUAAAUGAACUCAGAAGUAUGUUUUUGCUGUAAGAUUGUGUAAUUAUAACAUCCACCAGUAGGGGCUAAACAUCAUUUCUUAGGAUUUCAGGAAGUAGCAGGUCAUCAGGGUACUUUUUGCCUAAGGUUUUAUGAAUACAGUGAACUCAUACUACUGAUUCCAUAAAGCUACUCUUUUUCACCUACUAUGCAUAUUAUGCGGCAUUCCAGGCAGGUUUUUGAGCCCAUAAGUCAUGACUUCAAACCACGACUCAAAGCUUUGUAGCAUUCCAGGCAAGUCAUGCCAAACUUCCUGAGCGCAAGGAAUUGUAGCUAGAUUAUCAAUUUUCUUGCAACAUUAUAUUGUCCUAAAAUAAAAGUUUCAAUGUGUACCACUUGAAUAAACACUGCAUCCGUAGGCAAUAUUAUCAGUAGGGACUGCUUUAGUUGUUUCGCGGCCUAUGUGACAUCAGAACUCGGAACUGGGAGUACAUCGAUCUAGUACGAGUUCACGGGAGGGAAGUCACGGUUUUACUUCCGUUCCAGUGCACUUUCACGGCUAGAAGGUUGUAAAAACACUGGAACACGGCAUUAGAAUGGAGGCACUUCCUGAGAUCACUUCCUGUUCAUAGUCACAUGACAACAAAAUGGCUGCCUUCAUGCUGGUUAUACUCAACAAACUCCAUGACUGCAUCCAAAAUUGCAGUCUCUGCGCAGGUACUUCUUUUGAAUAAAUAGUUGCUUUGUGACUGUUAAAAAUGUAACAUAGUACUGACAUACUAAGUUCCUCAUGUUGUCAGUGUCAUGUGACCUAUUAGAGUAGGGGCACACCAAAUGUAUCGGGACAAAAAAAGUUGCGCACGAACACACCAGACAGUCUACAGUAUUUUUUUUUUUUUUUUUUUUUUUUUUACAGUUGCUUCUCCUUUUCUGAUUCUUUUAAUAAAACACACCAAAAUAUCCCUUUUCAAUUAUUUCAGCAUUUAUUUGGUCAAAAUUUUAAAUGUUAUCGUAUUAUUAUUAUUAUUAUUUUAUUAUUUUUAGUACCAUGUUUAUAUCAUUACACCACCUUGACAUUUUUAAUGUAUGCCCCACAAAAUAAAUAUAAUUUUAAUUACAGAAUUGAAAUGUGUUCUUCAUUGAACAGAUUAGAUUUGUUAAUAAAUAAAUGAAUCCAAUCCCACUAAAAUUUGCCAUUAAUAUGUUUUAUAUUUAACAUAACAUUAUUUCAGAACUGAUAGGCUACUUUAUCAUAUUUUCAGUGUGUUCUUGGGAGCAUACGUAUUAAAGUGAUGGAAAGCUUGAUGUAGGGGAUAGAAUAAAAAUCAUCCGCAUCAUCACUCAGUGAAAUGAAUAAUUGAUCAGGAAUACUCUAGACGCCAGGGGAAAAGUGAUUUUCAUUGCAGAGCCCGCGGUGACAGAUGGCGAACCACCGGCUUCCAGUCUCCGCCCAGCCGUCUCAGAAUCCCCGCCCCUCUCAGUGACGUCACCUGCGCUCCGGCCCCGCCCCGGUGCGAUGUGAGCCGCGUUUGCCCAAGAGCCACAAAGGAGCACAAAGUGAAGUGACCAACUCAACACCACAAUUGUGCGCUGCUUUGGAUGAACACAACAGGAAUGCAGAGGUGAGUUUAAGCCAUCGUUGCGCUUUUGUGCCUCUUAAUCCUCUUGGCUGCUUUUGAAUAUACUCGGAUCAUAAUUUCGAAACCUCCGAAAUGUUUGCGUUACUGUCUCAGCGCUCAGUGUUUUGUUGAACAUGCGUUUCUUGUAACAUUUCAGCUGCUUUUACAAACAUCAAGUUGAACAUACAUCACAUAUUUUCAGAUUUUAAAUGCGUAAACUUAAAUGUGCAGAUUAUAUUAAGGCAAUGUGAAGUGUGGGCUAUACUACAUAAACAGUAAAUGUUUUAGAACUAAAAAUUGAUUGAAUAAGCCAAUUUAAUGGAUGGAUUGAUUGAUUGUGAAUAGUCUCAUUACUUGAUAUGGAAUUGGACGUUCACAGAAUGUCCCUUAUGAACCGCUUGUUCCUGUAAAAAUACAUAAAAUAUCAGCAUUUUUUAUUAUUUACAUUGAUUUCUUCAAACUUGUUUCUUCCAAGUUGCCAAAAACCGUUUUAAAUAUACAGGUUUAUGCCAAAAUACUAUAAUAACUGUAGUUGCUACUACUGAAAAGUUAUUAAUAUGCACUGUAAAAAUGAUUUCUCAAAGAUGUAAUUAAAACAAAGAUUGUAGUACGCUUUACAAGUGCGUUACUUGCUGUUUCUUU